UACGGAGGGUGCAAGCGUUAUCCGGAUUUAUUGGGUUUAAAGGGUCCGCAGGCGGACCCGUAAGUCAGAGGUGGAAGCCGGCAGCUUAACUGUCGAACUGCCUUUGAAACUGCGGGUCUUGAGUGAGGUUGAAGUAGCUGGAAUGAGUAGUGUAGCGGUGAAAUGCAUAGAUAUUACUCAGAACACCAAUUGCGAAGGCAGGUUACUAAGUCUUAACUGACGCUGAGGGACGAAAGCGUGGGGAGCGAACAGG
rnacentral:rRNA from 1 species